rnacentral:snoRNA from 1 species
UAACCGUGGUGGGGACAAAGGGCUUGCAAUUCUUUGUAUCCUUCCCAAGCUUGAUAUGAAUUUUCAUCGUCCUUUUGGACAAAAGAAGAAAUUUGUUUUUUUUA